GACGAACGCUGGCGGCGUGCUUAACACAUGCAAGUCGAACGGAAAGGCCCUGCUUGCAGGGUACUCGAGUGGCGAACGGGUGAGUAACACGUGGGUGAUCUGCCCUGCACUUCGGGAUAAGCUUGGGAAACUGGGUCUAAUACCGGAUAGGACCGCACUUUAGUGUGUGUGGUGGAAAGUUUUUUCGGUGUAGGAUGAGCUCGCGGCCUAUCAGCUUGUUGGUGGGGUAAUGGCCUACCAAGGCGGCGACGGGUAGCCGGCCUGAGAGGGUGUACGGCCACAUUGGGACUGAGAUACGGCCCAGACUCCUACGGGAGGCAGCAGUGGGGAAUAUUGCACAAUGGGCGCAAGCCUGAUGCAGCGACGCCGCGUGGGGGAUGAAAGCCUUCGGGUUGUAAACUCCUUUCGCUAGGGACGAAGCUUUUUGUGACGGUACCUAGAUAAGAAGCACCGGCUAACUACGUG
rnacentral:rRNA from 1 species